rnacentral:rRNA from 1 species
AGGGAACGCUGGCGGUAGGCCUAACACAUGCAAGUCGAACGGCAGCACAGUAAGAGCUUGCUCUUACGGGUGGCGAGUGGCGGACGGGUGAGGAAUACAUCGGAAUCUACUUUUUCGUGUGGGAUAACGGAGGGAAACUUACGCUAAUACCGCAUACGACCUACGGGUGAAAGCAGGGGAUCUUCGGACCUUGCGCGAUUGAAUGAGCCGAUGUCGGGUUAGCUAGUUGGCGGGGUAGAGGCCCACCACGGCGACGAUCCGUAGCUGGUCUGAGAGGGUGGUUCGCCAGACUGGAUGUGAGACACGGCACAGACACUGGCGGGAGGACGCAGUGGGGAAUAUUGCGGGAUGGGGGAGAGCCGGAUCCAGCCCUACCGGGUGGGUGAAGAAGGCGUUCGGGUUGGAAAGCCCUGUUGUAGGGAAAGAAAAGCAGCAGGUUAAUACGGCGCUGUACUGACGGUACCCAAAGAAUAAGCACCGGCUAACUUCGUG